GAUGAACGCUGGCGGCGUGCCUAAUACAUGCAAGUCGAGCGAACAGACGAGGAGCUUGCUCCUCUGACGUUAGCGGCGGACGGGUGAGUAACACGUGGAUAGCCUACCUAUAAGACUGGGAUAACUUCAGGAAACCGGAGCUAAUACCGGAUAAUAUAUUGAACCGCAUGGUUCAAUAGUGAAAGACGGUUUUGCUGUCACUUAUAGAUGGAUCCGCGCCGCAUUAGCUAGUUGGUAAGGUAACGGCUUACCAAGGCAACGAUGCGUAGCCGACCUGAGAGGGUGAUCGGCCACACUGGAACUGAGACACGGUCCAGACUCCUACGAGAGGCAGCAGUAUGGAAUCUUCCGCAAUGGGCGAAAGCCUGACGGAGCAACGCCGCGUGAGUGAUGAAGGUCUUCGGAUCUUAAAACUCUGUUAUUAGGGAAGAACAAAUGUGUAAGUAACUAUGCACGUCUUGACGGUACCUAAUCAGAAAGCCACGGCUAACUACGUG
rnacentral:rRNA from 1 species